AGUUAGUUAGUUAAUAAUAUAAUAUAAGGUUGUCAAUCUUAAGUUUGGUUGGAUGCCUCAGAU
rnacentral:tRNA from 1 species